AUACUUACCUGGCAAGAGAGAUACCAUGUUCAUGAAGGUGAUUUACCCAGAGCGAUGCUUAUCCAUUGCACUCUGGAUGUGCGGACUUCUGUGAUUUCCCCAAAUGUGGGAAACUUGACUGUAUAAUUUGUUUUAGUGGGGGGAUUGUGUUUGCACUUUCCCCCU